rnacentral:hammerhead_ribozyme from 1 species
GUCCAGCUGACGAGUCCCAAAUAGGACGAAACGCUUGUCCUAGUU